rnacentral:rRNA from 1 species
ACCUCUGCAAUAGGCGAAAGCCUGACAGGGUUACUCUGAGUGACUUUCGCUAAGAAAGUCUUUUGGCACCUCUAAAAAGGGUGCAGAAUAAGGGGUGGGCAAGUCUGGUGUCAGCCGCCGCGGUAAUACCAGCACCCCGAGUGGUCGGGACGAUUAUUGGGCCUAAAGCAUCCGUAGCCGGUUCUGCAAGUCCCCCGUUAAAUCCAGCUGCUCAACAGAUGGGCCGCGGAGGAUACUACAGAGCUAGGAGGCAGGAGAGGCAAGCGGUACUCAGUGGGUAGGGGUAAAAUCCGUUGAUCCAUUGAAGACCACCAGUGGCGAAGGCGGCUUGCCAGAAUGCGCUCGACGGUGAGGGAUGAAAGCUGGGGGAGCAAACCGGAUUAGAUACCCGGGUAGUCCCAGCCGUAAACGAUGCAGACUCGGUGAUGGGUUGGCUUCGCGCUAACCCAGUGCCGCAGGGAAGCCGUUAAGUCUGCCGCCUGGGUAGUACGGGCGCAAGACUGAAACUUAA